AUACCUUUCUCGGCCUUUUGGCUAAGAUCAAGUGUAGUAUCUGUUCUUAUCAGUUUAAUAUCUGAUAUGUGGGUCAUUGGCCUGCACGAUAUUAAAUUACUUUUUAAAGGGGAGAGGUCAUUCAAAUAGCUUGCUAUUGGGUCUCUCAGGUAUCGCUCAUGUGUUGCACUACAACAUGAGUCGGUACACCCUAU